GAUGGAUUUAUUAUUCAAAACAAUAAUGUUUGUGGGAGUGGUAUACCCCUACAUAUUUCAAAAAUCAUAAUAUCAUGUACCCGUUAUAAAUCCAAACUCUAAAAAAAAAAAAAACAUUUAUUUUUAGCAGAGUUGUCAAAAUGGACUAAUCCGUAUAGGUUAAUUUGCAAAAUCCAAAUAAAUGUAGGGUUUUGGCUUUAAAAUUUUAUCCCGAACUUUUCAGUCCGGCCCAAAAAACCUCGUUUAAAAAUGGUCUAUAGCCGGCAUGGGGCAGAUGGGUAGGUUGUAACCCGUAUAAAGUAAAAUAUACCCCCAAAAAAUUAAAAUAAAAACUAAACUAAGUACCUAAAUU
rnacentral:lncRNA from 1 species